AACGAACGCUGGCGGCAUGCCUAACACAUGCAAGUCGAACGAAACCUUCGGGUCUAGUGGCGCACGGGUGCGUAACGCGUGGGAACCUGCCUUUAGGUUCGGAAUACCUCAGAGAAAUUUGAGCUAAUACCGGAUGAUGUCUUCGGACCAAAGAUUUCUCGCCUUUAGAUGGGCCCGCGUUGGAUUAGCUAGUUGGUGGGGUAAAGGCCUACCAAGGCGACGAUCCAUAGCUGGUCUGAGAGGAUGAUCGGCCACACUGGGACUGAGACACGGCCCAGACUCCUACGGGAGGCAGCAGUGGGGAAUAUUGGACAAUGGGCGAAAGCCUGAUCCAGCAAUGCCGCGUGAGUGAUGAAGGCCUUAGGGUUGUAAAGCUCUUUUACCCGAGAUGAUAAUGACAGUAUCGGGAGAAUAAGCUCCGGCUAACUCCGUG
rnacentral:rRNA from 1 species